CAUUAACUGAAUCCAUAGGUUAAUGAGGCGAACCGGGGGAACUGAAACAUCUAAGUACCCCGAGGAAAAGAAAUCAACCGAGAUUCCCCCAGUAGCGGCGAGCGAACGGGGAGGAGCCCAGAGCCUGAAUCAGCAUGUGUGUUAGUGGAAGCGUCUGGAAAGGCGCGCGAUACAGGGUGACAGCCCCGUACACAAAAGCGCAUGUGCUGUGAGCUCGAUGAGUAGGGCGGGACACGUGGUAUCCUGUCUGAAUAUGGGGGGACCAUCCUCCAAGGCUAAAUACUCCUGACUGACCGAUAGUGAACCAGUACCGUGAGGGAAAGGCGAAAAGAACCCCGGCGAGGGGAGUGAAAAAGAACCUGAAACCGU
rnacentral:rRNA from 2 species